CUCCCUGUGGCUCAGUUGGUAGAGCAUGGUGUUUGCAAUGCCAGGGUUGUGGGUUCGAUUCCCAUGGGGGGC
rnacentral:tRNA from 1 species